rnacentral:rRNA from 1 species
UGGGCAAUAGACUGCAGUUCGAACGACUUUAUACCUCUGCCGGAAGGUAAGCGGUUAGUGGCGGACUGGUGAGUAACACGUAAGGAACCUGCCUAUUAGAGAGGAAUACCAGUGAGAAAUCACCGCUAAUACCUCAUAUGCCUUAGUUAUCGCAUGAUAAUAGAGGGAAAGGAGCAAUCCACUAAUAGAUGGCCUCGCGCCUGAUUAACUAGUUGGUGAGAUAAAAGCCCACCAAGGUAACGAUCAGUAGCCGAACUGAGAGGUUGAACGGCCACAUUGGGACUGAGAUACGGCCCAGACUCCUACGGGAGGCAGCAGUCGGGAAUAUUGCGCAAUGGAGGAAACUCUGACGCAGUGACGCCGCGUAUAGGAAGAAGGUUUUCGGAUUGUAAACUAUUGUCGAUAGGGAAGAAAAAGGACUGUACCUAUCAAGAAAGCUCCGGCUAACUACGUGCCAGCAGCCGCGGUAAUACGUAGGGAGCAAGCGUUAUCCGGAAUUAUUGGGUGUAAAGGGUGCGUAGACGGGAUGUCAAGUUAGUUGUGAAAUACCUCGGCUCAACUGAGGAACUGCAACUAAAACUAACAUUCUUGAGUGCAGGAGAGGAAAGUGGAAUUCCUAGUGUAGCGGUGAAAUGCGUAGAUAUUAGGAAGAACAUCGGUGGCGAAGGCGACUUUCUGGACUGUAACUGACGUUGAGGCACGAAAGUGUGGGGAGCAAACAGGAUUAGAUACCCUGGUAGUCCACACUGUAAACGAUGGAUACUAGGUGUAGGGGGUAUUAAGCCUUCUGUGCCGUCGCU